AGUAACGUAUAUGGCUUAAAGAAGCGAGAUUACGAUUUGUUAAUAGUUCAGUAUGUCAAAAAUUCUUUGAAUAGCUAAAUGCUACAGACGAAACACUCAGUCAAAAGGUCCUCGAGUUGUUUGUUCAAAUAAUCGAGAAGAGGUUAUUUUUUCUUCGAGUUUUACGUCGGUUACCUAAGACUAAAUACAUCUACUUAGAAAAUACGAAAACCCCAAGUAAAGCUUCACAUAAAUAAGGUUGCAAAACAAACUGAACAUUUAUACUUAUGAACAUGUAGAUAAAUUGCCAAAAAAAAGGUUGACGAACUCUAAGAUUACGAAUAAUUAUAGAAAAUGAAGAAGCUUUGGUGUUCUAAAAUGUCAAACUUAUAUAUAAGAGUUUGGAACCAAAGCGUGAAACAUGCUUACUCUUCGUCAAUAAUUUCUUCCUCCAAUCGAAUACCUUCUUUGGCAAGUGUAUCAAUCAAUGGACCGCAAAGCUUCAUAUCAUUAGGAGCCAAAACACCUGGGGUGUUAAUAACACCAUCAAGAAUUUGCUGAGUAGCAACACCACAAGGAACGCCGACUAAUUUUGCCAUAGAGGUGUAGCCAUUAGGAACACCGUAGUCAAGCAAAGUGCAAGUACGAGUUUGGCGUUUUCCUUCUUUGGUUUCAACUUCAAACUUGUGUUGAAGGAUUAACAUAUCACGUUCACCUUCUUCGUAUUGCAUAAGUUCCUCCAAGGUAGCGCAUAAGGUGUCCAAAGGAUUACCACGAGGAGUAACGGGUUUGCUAGAGAACAUACCAAGCCACUUCAAACCAUUCAAAAUGCGCUUCUUGUCGUCUUCAUCUUUGAAUUUGUGGAUGGAAGAAAUUUUCUUGAUUAGGUCGGCUUCGGAGGAAGAUUCAGCCUUGAUGACACGAGCAGUAACCUCCUUCCAAGGCAAAGCGGGUGCUUCAGGAGAUAAGUAUUCCUGAGCUGUCUCAUCCAAAAAUCCCAUAUCAACCAAACAAUGAAUAAACUCGGGAAAUCCUUGGUAACGUAAAGUACCGCGAAUGAUAGUUUCUGCUUCAGGUAUUUGAUAGCGCUCUUGGUAGACAGUGGAAUCACGAUUAGGAUAACAAACGAAAGCGUAACCGGGAUAGAUGAAAUAGGGUUUAGCAGUUUCCAUCAAAUCCUUGCCGUCAAUUUCAACAAGUUUGCCGUUUUCAUAAAACUUGGCAGAGUUGCGAAGAGCCAACAAAACACCACGAGAAGACCAAGAAAACUUGUAUCCUAAAGGAUUGUUGGAGUCCUCGGGAGCGGGAAGACCUCCACAAUAAGACAAGAAAGACUUAAUCUUACCGCCAGCUUUAUGAACCUCUUCAAUGGUCUUGAUAGCAUAUAAAUGAUCAAUACCGGGAUCGACGCCGAUUUCGUUCAUACAAAUAGAACCAGCCUUGAUGGCAGCUUCCUCCAACUCAGCCAUUUUGGGAUUCACAUAACUGGUGGUACAAACGUGUUUACCAUGCUUAAUGGCAGCUUUCAUAACUGUUGCAUGAUAAGUGUAAGGAAUCAAGCUGAUGGUAAGAUCAUGUUCGGAAACAGCUUUCUCAAGAGCUGCUUCAUCAUUGACAUCCAAAGCAAUGGCUUUGCUGUUUGGGAUACCAUUAAUAAAUGCUUCAGCCUUAGAAAGAGUUCUGCAUGCUACGGUUAUAUUAUUUUCUUUACGACGAGAUAAAUAUUCUAAAGUAGGAUGAGCGACAAAUCCCGAACCAAGUAAUAAGAUGGAAGGCAUUUUGAUGUUGAAAAUGAAAGAGGCAGUCAGUUAAGGACAAGUGGUAAACCAAAGACUUCUGUUUUGUCGUCACGGUUUUAGCGAUAUAUAAGGGGUUCCUUUUUAUCCACAGAUUUAUUUCUGAUGGCCGAAAUCGUCGUCUAAAUUGAUGAAAACUGAUUAUCUCGAAUCGGUUAAAAAAGCAGUCACAUGGACCAUUUUUUGAAUUAAUAUUUAAUCGUUACGUUUCCUCUCAAUGUUAUGUUUGGCUUACUAGGGGAAUUCGUUAUUAUCGACAAGUUUAGUCGAUAAUUUGUUAGCAGCGAUGUCGCAACUGAUAGUUUUAGCAACUUUUUUUACGUAGUUUUUUUCUGCAGAACAGAAGUUGCUUAAAAGCUAGUAGAUGCCAUUCGUUGUUGUUUGGGGGUAGAUUAAAGAAUUCUAAGCUUUAGUAUAAGAAUAAUU